GACGAACGCUGGCGGCGUGCCUAAUACAUGCAAGUCGAACGAGUGGCGGACGGGUGAGUAAUGUCUGGGAAACUGCCUGAUGGAGGGGGAUAACUACUGGAAACGGUAGCUAAUACCGCAUACCAUCAGAUGUGCCCAGAUGGGAUUAGCUAGUUGGUGGGGUAACGGCUCACCAAGGCGACGAUCCCUAGCUGGUCUGAGAGGAUGACCAGCCACACUGGAACUGAGACACGGUCCAGACGCCUACGGGAGGCAGCAGUGGGGAAUAUUGCGCAAUGGGCGCAAGCCUGAUGCAGCCAUGCCGCGUGUAUGAAGAAGGCCUUCGGGUUGUAAAGUACUUUCAGCGGGGAGGCGUUACCAACAGAAUAAGCAACGGCUAACUUCGUGCCAGCAGCCGCGGUAAUAC
rnacentral:rRNA from 1 species